UAUAUUAGUGCUUGUGCACAACAAUAGUUUUCAUUACAUUCGAGUAUAUGUAAAAUCCUCUGCCGGCCGAAGCUAGCAAGAGGCCAAAGGUUCACAGGGUGUGGAAUUGGAUGAAAGCCACCAACGUGCACUUGCUCCUGCGAGCCAGCACUGAAGGUGACGAUUCGCAAUCAUUAAUGAUCCUUCCGCAGGUUCACCUACGGAAA
rnacentral:misc_RNA from 1 species